UACGGUAGGGGCAGCGUUGUCCGGAAUCAUUGGGCGUAAAGAGCGUGUAGGCGGCUCGAUAAGUCUGCUGUGAAAGUCCAGGGCUCAACCCUGGAAGGCCGGUGGAAACUGUCGGGCUAGAGUCCGGAAGAGGCGAGUGGAAUUCCCGGUGUAGCGGUGAAAUGCGCAGAUAUCGGGAGGAACACCAAUGGCGAAGGCAGCUCGCUGGGACGGUACUGACGCUGAGACGCGAAAGCGUGGGGAGCAAACAGGG
rnacentral:rRNA from 1 species